UGGGGAAUAUUGGACAAUGGGCGAAAGCCUGAUCCAGCCAUGCCGCGUGUGUGAAGAAGGUCUUCGGAUUGCAAAGCACUUUAAGUUGGGAGGAAGGGUUGUAGAUUAAUACUCUGCAAUUUUGACGUUACCGACAGAAUAAGCACCGGCUAACUCUGUGCCAGCAGCCGCGGUAAUACAGAGGGUGCAAGCGUUAAUCGGAAUUACUGGGCGUAAAGCGCGCGUAGGUGGUUAGUUAAGUUGGAUGUGAAAUCCCCGGGCUCAACCUGGGAACUGCAUUCAAAACUGACUGACUAGAGUAUGGUAGAGGGUGGUGGAAUUUCCUGUGUAGCGGUGAAAUGCGUAGAUAUAGGAAGGAACACCAGUGGCGAAGGCGACCACCUGGACUGAUACUGACACUGAGGUGCGAAAGCGUGGGGAGCAAACA
rnacentral:rRNA from 1 species